rnacentral:rRNA from 1 species
UACGGAGGGUGCAAGCGUUGUCCGGAUUUAUUGGGUUUAAAGGGUGCGUAGGCGGUUAUCUAAGUCAGUGGUGAAAGGCAGCAGCUCAACUGUUAGCACUGCCAUUGAUACUGGAUGACUUGAGUACAGAUGAGGUAGGCGGAAUUUAUGGUGUAGCGGUGAAAUGCAUAGAUACCAUAAAGAACACCGAUUGCGAAGGCAGCUUACUAAGCUGUAACUGACGCUGAGGCACGAAAGCGUGGGGAUCGAACAGG